CAGCUAGUCAGGCAGGAACAAGGCAGGAGAAGCUCCACCCCCCCACACCAACCUGGACUGUCAGGCUAUCAGGUGAUGGUCAGGUGGUUGUUAACUGUCUCUCUAAAAUAAUAAUUGAUUGCAGCUGGCACCAGGGACAGGCAGGCUCCCUAUAGAUAGGAAAAACCUGAAACUGUUGAUCAGUAGCUUCUUGAUAAGCUCUCAGGAGUUGAGCGAUUGGGCUCAACGCAUGUGCAUUAGGAGGCAAAAUGGCAUAGUUUAACUGGUAUACGACCUCCUACGGACAUUUGGCUAAGGGAAGAAUGCCUCAAGUGAGCAUGCCUACAACUCCAGUAAACACUGCAUACUGUGUGUACUCCCCUCCCAAGCGCUGGCAGGCCACUGUGCAUGCAGACACCCCACCCCAAGGGAAGCAUCAGGGAAGAAGGGAAGCAAGAACCUAAAAGCACGCCAACAGAUUGUCUCAUCCUGGAUAAGAGAAAAUCCAUAAGAGUUGGCGUCUAUGGGCACCAGAAUCUCAACUGUAAUAAUAAGCCUGGCAUAUUCCUCAGAGUCAUCAAGGCAAGCUGGCUUCAGUUUUCUAUAUGCCUCAGCCCUUCUGAGCUGCAGACCUCUUUGGGGAUGAAGAAUAAGCAGACAUCCUUCAUUAUGAGACAGGUAAAAGAAAAAGAAGAGAUAGACACUUCCCAAGAUGGCCAAAGAGGAGCAACUCCG
rnacentral:lncRNA from 1 species